rnacentral:rRNA from 1 species
AGUCGAGCGAGUCUGCCUUGAAGAUCGGAGUGCUUGCACUCUGUGAAACAAGAUACAGGCUAGCGGCGGACGGGUGAGUAACACGUGGGUAACCUGCCCAAGAGAUCGGGAUAACACCUGGAAACAGAUGCUAAUACCGGAUAACAACAGAUGAUGCCUAUCAACUGUUUAAAAGAUGGUUCUGCUAUCACUCUUGGAUGGACCUGCGGUGCAUUAGCUAGUUGGUAGGGUAACGGCCUACCAAGGCGAUGAUGCAUAGCCGAGUUGAGAGACUGAUCGGCACAUUGGGACUGAGACACGGCCCAAACUCCUACGGGAGGCAGCAGUAGGGAAUCUUCCACAAUGGACGCAAGUCUGAUGGAGCAACGCCGCGUGAGUGAAGAAGGGUUUCGGCUCGUAAAGCUCUGUUGUUGGUGAAGAAGGACAGGGGUAGUAACUGACCUUUGUUUGACGUAAUCAAUUAGAAAGUCACGGCUAACUACGUGCCAGCAGCCGCGGUAAUACGUAGGUGGCAAGCGUUGUCCGGAUUUAUUGGGCGUAAAGCGAGUGCAGGCGGCUCGAUAAGUCUGAUGUGAAAGCCUUCGGCUCAACCGGAGAAUUGCAUCAGAAACUGUCGAGCUUGAGUACAGAAGAGGAGAGUGGAACUCCAUGUGUAGCGGUGAAAUGCGUAGAUAUAUGGAAGAACACCGGUGGCGAAGGCGGCUCUCUGGUCUGUUACUGACGCUGAGGCUCGAAAGCAUGGGUAGCGAACAGGAUUAGAUACCCUGGUAGUCCAUGCCGUAAACGAUGAGUGCUAAGUGUU